rnacentral:lncRNA from 1 species
UUUUGAGUUUUCAGUGUUCUCACACAGAUUCUUUCUCAUCUUUAUGGGCUUAUCCACCUUCCAUCUUUGAGGUUGCUGACCUUCGGACAGGGGAAGAUGAUAGCCUGCCCCUUCCUCUGGGAGCUCUGUGCCACUGAGGUACGAACUUGUUGCCAGUAUGAACACACCUAUAAGAUGUGACUGGAGACAAGUUGAGAAGUCUUAUCUAGUCAGGAAGAACAAAAACAGGCACUGACUUAAAAAAGAAGUCUGGGCACGUUUUUCUAGAGCAGCUGUGCUAUGCCGGGUGUUCACUUCCACUCCUGGUUGCCUCAGACACUCUGAAGCCCUAAUGCUGAAAUGGCUGAGUUGCCCCAACAGCAAAGACAACAGUCUGGUCCUCCCCCUGGGAGCUCUGACUCAGGGAGGCCUGAAACCUCUGUCGGACAGAGAACAGCAGUGAAGGCAGCUGGAGACCCUAGUUGAAAGGCUUCACCUGCUGAUUAGAAAUGUGGUCGGGGACUGACUUAAACAAGAGUCUGGCCACGUUUUUGUAGUGUGGCCAUGCUUAGCUGAGGUUCCUCUUCCACCCCUUGUCACCUUGGGCUUUCCAAAGCCCGCAAACCAGAACGGCUAGUCACCCAAACAGCAAAGGUGGUGGCCUGCCCCUCUCUCUGGGAGCUCUGUCCCGUGAACACUUCAAAUUUCUAUUGGCCAAGGAAUGCUGGUGGCGGUAGCUGGAGGCCCCAUUUGGGAGGUCCUGUACAGUGAUGUGCGACAGGGUCGGGGGCCUGCUUACAGAACCAUUCUGGCCAUGAUUUGGUAAAGCAGCUAUGCUGUGCUGUGGGAUCUCUUCUGCCCCUUGUCGGUUUAUACUCUCCAAAGCCCUCAGGCUGGAAUGACUAAGUUGCCUGAACAGGAAAGAUGGCGGCCUGCCCCAUCUAUUCUCUCAGAGUUCAUCUUGUUUGAUGGAGCUUAAUUUUUAGCCUGUUAAUUUUAUUGUCUACAUUAGACUUCUUCGGAAAGAAUCUGCUAUAUUUUAGGUUAGAUAUAUGAGAAUUCAUUGUUUUCUGUAAAUAAACCUGUUCAUGUCUUGUUCUCUGGA